UCAUGCUUGAACAACUCGACUGGUUUAUUGGUUGUGUGUUGAUCAGAGCCAAAUUGGAUCCGUGCUACACCCUCUACGGUCAUCGUCAAGCAGUUUACACUUUGUGUCCUGGGGAAACAUUUUACGAAUAUUUACAAGAGAAUGAUCAUUGGCGGUUUACUAACGACUCAAUAGGCAACCCUAAUCAUAUAACACCGUGUGAUCGUUGAACACCGGGCAUCUUCAAACAAAGUCAAAGUUACCUCGGACAAGUUCGUCACCCUUCUGUGAAUUUUCAACAAGGAUUGGGAAAAUGUCGCGUCCAAGAAUAUUCAAAAUAAUUAUGAAGAUGUAGAAAACAGAUUAUUUUGGGAAUGUUGAAUCGCUGUCAAUGUACGUAUAUGCAAUUUAUUGAUAGAAACAUCUAAAUUUGAACUUAUAUUCCUUUGUUAUUAUAUUUAUAUAUUUCAAUUCGGUUUGAAAACUUAUGUGUAAAGUGGUAAAUAAUUGUUAUUAAUAAAAAUGCAUGAAUACAGUUAAAUUACGUAACUUAAGGAAACGAAAAAAGCCAUAACCAAACGACAAUCAAUAUUAUAAUAUAUUUGUAUGACAACUAUUUUGUCUGCACUAAAAUGUAUCCAUGUUUUGUAUCCUAUUUCUGUUCUAUGUAAACUAUGUCUGUGCCUUUACUUUAAAUGUCAGUGAAACAAAAUAUAUCCAUGUUGAACGUACAUUGGACAAAUACAAAAAGAUAUUUGGUUUCCAAAAUGUGAAUUUAAUCGGGUGUGAGUUCUGCAUCCUGCAUGCACCUUUGAAAUGAUAAUGAUGUACCUUGUCUGAGGUUCAUCCCUCCUAUCAUGGAUAAUGAGAUAUAUCGUAAGGAAAUGGUGUUUGGACAUGUC